rnacentral:rRNA from 1 species
GCGAUCAUACCAGCACUAAUGCACCGGAUCCUAUCAGAACUCCGCAGUUAAGCGUGCUUGGGCGAGAGUAGUACUAUGAUGGGUGACCUCCUGGGAAGUCCUCGUGUUGCACCCC